UUAAAUUGCAUUUUCUUUUAAAAUUCAUGAUAAAUUCAUUUUUCAUCCAAAAAAUCCCAAAAUAAUUUCUAAACUUUUAUUUUAUUUUGCCAUUUUUUCUUUCUUGAUUUCCUAUUUUUCUUGAAUUUUCUCUUUUUUCCUUUAUUUUAAUUGGUUUAAAAAUACUUUUAGGCAUUUAAAAUUUCUGAAAAAUUUAUUU
rnacentral:lncRNA from 1 species